rnacentral:miRNA from 1 species
UUUGUACUGCACAAAAGCUCUG